GGGGAAAAAAAUAAUUGCUUGAGGAAUCGACACGGCCUCCUCUCAGCAAGGUCCUACCUACGAGCUGCCUCCGAGCCUGCCGGAGCUGCGCUCCCGGAGACGCCUCUGUCAAAGGCCAAUCCUUUGGAAGAGAGAUUUGAAGGAAAAGGUUAUCUGGGAGAUGCGGCUCGCUGGCUGUUAUUUAGUGCUUCACACCAGGCGCCGCUCUCCCCAUUUUCCGCCUUCUCUAACGAGGAAAGGUCCGUGACCACCGCAGGCUCAUCAGGAUACAAGAGCAGGUUUUUACUUUGGGGCCGACAAAGACGAGGAGGAAACCAGGAUAAUGGAAAUGGUGUUUGUGCCUGCAGGGAUAAACAGGAAUUUUCUUAACCAGAUUGGAACCUCCAGCAGGUGCUGGCUGGAGCCCCCACGCAGGCAUUCCAAGGAUGAGAGGUUUCCCAGGCAGUUUUCUGGAAGCAAAGCUGCCUGAGGAAGGAGCUGCUCCCUCAGGAGGAUGCACUGGGGCGCCUGCCCUGAUGUUUUUUUGUUGUUUUGGGGCUGGGCUGGGCCGAUGAUCUCCCUGCUCCCAUUUUUCCCUCCCAGGGAGCUGCCCUGUGCCCAGGCUGUGGCAAACUCAGCUCCGAGUGUGAGUUCUCUGCCCUCACCCUCCCUGAUCCCAAAGUUUUCAGGGCGGAUCUGGGAAGCACUUAGUGCUCUCUCCAGUCGUUCCAUCCUCGAUUGCAGAUAAUGCUGUCGAGGUUUAUUGUUGACAUUUUCUGUUUUAUUGCCUCUGUGGCUUCUCAGAAGUUCUUGUUCCAUCUCCAAAUGACAAUGAACACGGAGCCUGUCGCCACCAGCGUGGCUUCUCCUCCUUGGAGCACCUGAUUCAAAGUCUCCUGAAGUCACUGGGACUUUUUCCAGUGGAUCUCAAGUCAAGGCUCUUCCAGGCUGGCGCUGGCUUUGAUGGGCUUUGAGUGUGGCACACGAGGCACAAUGGGCUCCUUGUUCCUCUCCAGUUCCCCGGGAGCUGCGCU